rnacentral:tRNA from 1 species
GGGGCGGUGGCGCAAUGGGAGCGCGCGUCGUUUGCACCGACGUGGUUGUGGGUUCAAGUCCCACCCGCUCCA